GAUCAUGGCUCAGGACGAACGCUGGCGGCGUGCUUAACACAUGCAAGUCGAACGGAGCACCCUUGACUGAGGUUUCGGCCAAAUGAUAGGAAUGCUUAGUGGCGGACUGGUGAGUAACGCGUGAGGAACCUACCUUCCAGAGGGGGGACAACAGUUGGAAACGACUGCUAACUACCGCAUGACGCAUCGGACCGGGGCACGUCCCGGGACAUGUACAAAGUAUUUUAUCGCGUAGGGAAGAUCGGCCUCGGCG
rnacentral:rRNA from 1 species